rnacentral:rRNA from 1 species
UUGUGUGUGCAAUAUCCUCCGCAGGUCAACUAACUA